rnacentral:rRNA from 1 species
AUGAACGCUAGCUACAGGCUUAACACAUGCAAGUCGAGGGGCAGCAUUUUAGUUUGCUUGCAAACUGAAGAUGGCGACCGGCGCACGGGUGAGUAACACGUAUCCAACCUGCCGAUAACUCCGGAAUAGCCUUUCGAAAGAAAGAUUAAUACCGGAUAGCAUACGAAUAUCGCAUGAUAUUUUUAUUACAGAAUUUCGGUUAUCGAUGGGGAUGCGUUCCAUUAGUUUGUUGGCGGGGUAACGGCCCACCAAGACUACGAUGGAUAGGGGUUCUGAGAGGAAGGUCCCCCACAUUGGAACUGAGACACGGUCCAAACUCCUACGGGAGGCAGCAGUGAGGAAUAUUGGUCAAUGGGCGAGAGCCUGAACCAGCCAAGUAGCGUGAAGGAUGAAGGCUCUAUGGGUCGUAAACUUCUUUUAUAUGGGAAUAAAGUUUUCCACGUGUGGAAUUUUGUAUGUACCAUAUGAAUAAGGAUCGGCUAACUCCGUGCCAGCAGCCGCGGUAAUACGGAGGAUCCGAGCGUUAUCCGGAUUUAUUGGGUUUAAAGGGAGCGUAGGUGGAUUGUUAAGUCAGUUGUGAAAGUUUGCGGCUCAACCGUAAAAUUGCAGUUGAAACUGGCAGUCUUGAGUACAGUAGAGGUGGGCGGAAUUCGUGGUGUAGCGGUGAAAUGCUUAGAUAUCACGAAGAACUCCGAUUGCGAAGGCAGCUCACUAGACUGUCACUGACACUGAUGCUCGAAAGUGUGGGUAUCAAACAGGAUUAGAUACCCUGGUAGUCCACACAGUAAACGAUGAAUACUCGCUGUUUGCGAUAUACAGUAAGCGGCCAAGCGAAAGCAUUAAGUAUUCCACCUGGGGAGUACGCCGGCAACGGUGAAACUCAAAGGAAUUGACGGGGGCCCGCACAAGCAGUGGAGUAUGUGGUUUAAUUCGAAGCAACGCGAAGAACCUUACCAGGGCUUGACAUAUACAGGAAUACUUAAGAAAUUAGGUAGUCUUUCGAGACUUGUAUACAGGUGGUGCAUGGUUGUCGUCAGCUCGUGCCGUGAGGUGUCGGCUUAAGUGCCAUAACGAGCGCAACCCUUAUCUUUAGUUACUAACAGGUCAUGCUGAGGACUCUAGAGAGACUGCCGUCGUAAGAUGUGAGGAAGGUGGGGAUGACGUCAAAUCAGCACGGCCCUUACGUCCGGGGCUACACACGUGUUACAAUGGGGGGUACAGAAGGCGGCUACCUGGUGACAGGAUGCUAAUCCCAAAAACCUCUCUCAGUUCGGAUCGAAGUCUGCAACCCGACUUCGUGAAGCUGGAUUCGCUAGUAAUCGCGCAUCAGCCAUGGCGCGGUGAAUACGUUCCCGGGCCUUGUACACACCGCCCGUCAAGCCAUGAAAGCCGGGGGUACCUGAAGUACGUAACCGCAAGGAGCGUCCUAGGGUAAAACUGGUAAUUGGGGCU